rnacentral:piRNA from 1 species
ACUGGCCGAGGCUGUGGGCACUGGGA